AGAACGGAUCCGACGNUCAGGGACGAAACCUAGGGGCACGAACCGGAUUAGAUACCCGGGUAGUCCUAGGUGUAAACGCUGUGGACUUGAUGUUGGGAGCGCUCCGAGCGCCCUCAGUGUCGUAGCGAAGGUGAUAAGUCCACUGCCUGGGGAGUACGGUCGCAAGGCUGAAACUUAAAGGAAUUGGCGGGGGAGCACUGCAACCUGAGGAUUGUGCGGUUUAAUUGGAUUCAACGCCGGAAAACUCACCAUGGCCGACGGACAAAUGGAAGCCAGUGUAACGAGCUUGCUGGAUUGUUCGAGAGGUAUUGCAUGGCCGUCGUCAGUUCGUACCGCAAGGCGUUCUGUUAAGUCAGAUAACGAACGAGACCCUCAUCCCUAUUUGCUACCUGGAUCUCCGGAUCCGGCGCACUAUAGGGAGACCGCAUGACGCUAAGUCUGAGGAAGGCGAGGGCAACGGUAGGUCAGUAUGAUCUGAAUGCCAUGGGCUACACGCGCAAUACAAAGGACGGGACAAUGGGCUGCAACUCCGAGAGGAAUGACGCUAUCCCGAAACCCGUUCGUAGUUCGGAUUGAGGGCGUGUAACUCGCCCUCAUGAAGCUGGAUUAGGUAGUAAUCGCGUCUCAAAAGGGCGCGGUGAAUAUGCCCCUGCUCCUUGCACACACCGCCCGU
rnacentral:rRNA from 1 species